rnacentral:rRNA from 1 species
AUUGAACGCUGGCGGCAUGCCUUACACAUGCAAGUCGAACGGCAGCAUGGAGAGCUUGCUCUCUGAUGGCGAGCGGCGAACGGGUGAGUAAUGCAUCGGAACGUACCGUGUAAUGGGGGAUAACGUAGCGAAAGUUACGCUAAUACCGCAUACGACCUGAGGGUGAAAGCAGGGGAUCGCAAGACCUUGCGUUAUACGAGCGGCCGAUGUCAGAUUAGCUAGUUGGCGAGGUAAAGGCUCACCAAGGCGACGAUCUGUAACGGGUCUGAGAGGAUGAUCCGCCACACUGGGACUGAGACACGGCCCAGACUCCUACGGGAGGCAGCAGUGGGGAAUUUUGGACAAUGGGGGCAACCCCGAUCCAGCCAUGCCGCGUGAGUGAAGAAGGCCUUCGGGUUGUAAAGCUCUUUCGGCCGGGAAGAAAUCGCACAGGCUAAUACUCUGUGUGGAUGACGGUACCGGCAUAAGAAGCACCGGCUAACUACGUGCCAGCCGCCGCGGUAA